rnacentral:misc_RNA from 1 species
GAAGUGCGAUAAGUAAUGUGAAUUGCAGUAUUCCGUGAAUCAUCGAAUCUUUGAACGCAAAUUGCACUUUCUGGUAUUCCGGAAAGUAUGCCUGUUUGAGGGUCAGUUAAAUAAAAAUCGGUGUUGUUGCUGCCUUACGUGGUGACGCGUCGGAAUUGAGUUGUCUUACCUUCGGUUAAGUGACUUAAAAUUUUGUAUGAUUUUCGAACGUAUUUAAAUCGCUUACGUACGUUUGAGAUAUCGAAUGCUUAUUAGGUUCGGUCAUCCUCAUGACCCGCGCCUAUAAUUUUUCAUUAAAUGACCUCAAAUCAGGUAAGAAUACCCGCUGAACUUAA